CACGUAGGGCGCGAGCGUUUGUCCGGAAUUAUUGGGCGUAAAGAGCUCGUAGGCGGCCUGUUGCGUCCGCUGUGAAAGCCCGGGGCUUAACCCCGGGUCGGCAGUGGAUACGGGCAGGCUAGAGGUAGGUAGGGGAGAAUGGAAUUCCCGGUGUAGCGGUGAAAUGCGCAGAUAUCGGGAGGAACACCGGUGGCGAAGGCGGCGUGCUGGACCUUUUCUGACGCUGAGGCGCGAAAGCUAGGGGAGCAAACGGG
rnacentral:rRNA from 1 species